rnacentral:piRNA from 1 species
GGGGUUUCUCUUCAAUUCUGUGGUUGCUU